rnacentral:piRNA from 1 species
CAUCAACUGUAAUCAUAUAAAUACAACUGG